UUUGUAGGUGGUGAAGUGUGUUUGGUGUGAAAGCCCUAGGCUAAACUUAGGAAGUGCAUCGAAAACUACUUCACUAGAGUGCGAGAGAGGAUGGCAGAAUUCCCAGAGUAGAGGUGAAAUUCGUAGAUACUGGGAGGAAUACCAGAGGCGAAGGCGGCCAUCUGGCUCGUAACUGACACUGAGAAACGAAAGCGUGGGGAGCAAACA
rnacentral:rRNA from 1 species